CGCUCCUUGGACUUCGGUUCAGGGAGGAAAGCGCUACCGUGGGUAGCGCGCUCUUGGAUGGGCUCAUGUCCUAUCAGCUUGUUGGUGAGGUAACGGCUCACCAAGGCUUCGACGGGUAGCUGGUCUGAGAGGACGAUCAGCCACACUGGCACUGCGACACGGGCCAGACUCCUACGGGAGGCAGCAGUAAGGAAUAUUGCGCAAUGGGCGAAAGCCUGACGCAGCGACGCCGCGUGGGGGAUGAAGGUCUUCGGAUUGUAAACCCCUUUCGGGAGGGAAGAUGGAAUGGGGUAACCCAUUCGGACGGUACCUCCAGAAGCAGCCACGGCUAACUUCGUGCCAGCAGCCGCGGUAAUACGAAGGUGGCAAGCGUUAUUCGGAUUUACUGGGCGUACAGGGAGCGUA
rnacentral:rRNA from 1 species